AAAGGGUGCGUAGGCGGCCUGUUAAGUCAGAGGUGAAAGACGGUAGCUCAACUAUCGCAGUGCCUUUGAUACUGAUGGGCUUGAAUGGACUAGAGGUAGGCGGAAUGAGACAAGUAGCGGUGAAAUGCAUAGAUAUGUCUCAGAACACCGAUUGCGAAGGCAGCUUACUAUGGUUUUAUUGACGCUGAGGCACGAAAGCGUGGGGAUCAAACAGGAUUAGAUACCCCAGU
rnacentral:rRNA from 1 species